UUAGUGGCGGACGGGUGAGUAACGCGUGGAAAACCUGACGUAUACUGGGGGAUAACACUUAGAAAUAGGUGCUAAUACCGCAUAAGCGCACAGCUUCGCAUGAAGCGGUGUGAAAAACUCUGGUGGUAUACGAUGGUUCCGCGUCUGAUUAGCUAGUUGGUGGGGUAAUGGCCUACCAAGGCAACGAUCAGUAGCCGGCCUGAGAGGGUGAACGGCCACAUUGGGACUGAGACACGGCCCAAACUCCUACGGGAGGCAGCAG
rnacentral:rRNA from 1 species